UUUAAGUGCAACCAUGAGUUUUCGCGCCCAACUUUAGUCAUCCGUCUUAUUUGAAAAUUUUUCGUAAUUAGUAUUUUUGUUGUUAUGAGAUGAUAAAACGAAUAGUACUUUAUGCAUGACUUAUGUUUUUUUAGUUUUUUUCAAAAAAAAUUUUAAAUAAGACGGACGAUUAAAAUUAGGCGUGGAAACUCAUCGCUGCACUUGAA
rfam:Oryza rufipogon genomic scaffold, chr08